rfam:Corchorus capsularis cultivar CVL-1 contig11438, whole genome shotgun sequence.
GUAUGCCUGGCUCCCUGUAUGCCAUUUGCAAAGCCCAUCAAGAGUCCGGUGGCCUUCGUGGAUGGCAUGCGAGGAGCCAUGCAUGC